rnacentral:rRNA from 1 species
UACGAAGGGGGCUAGCGUUGCUCGGAAUUACUGGGCGUAAAGGGAGCGUAGGCGGACAGUUUAGUCAGAGGUGAAAGCCCAGGGCUCAACCCUGGAAUUGCCUUUGAUACUGAUUGUCUUGAGUAUGGGAGAGGUGAGUGGAACUCCGAGUGUAGAGGUGAAAUUCGUAGAUAUUCGGAAGAACACCAGUGGCGAAGGCGGCCAGCUAGACCAGUUCUGACACUGAGGCGCGACAGCGUGGGGAGCAAACAGG